rnacentral:rRNA from 1 species
UACACGACCGUACCGCAAACCGACACUGGUGCGCGAGAUGAGUAUUCUAAGGCGCUUGAGAGAACUCAGGAGAAGGAACUCGGCAAAUUGACACCGUAACUUCGGAAGAAGGUGUGCCUUUAGUAGGUGAACCUGUACAAGGGGAGCCCAAUGAGGUUGCAAAAAAUCGGUGGCUGCGACUGUUUAAUAAAAACACAGCACUCUGCAAACACGAAAGUGGACGUAUAGGGUGUGACGCCUGCCCGGUGCUGGAAGAUUAAAUGAUGGGGUGCAAGCUCUUGAUUGAAGUCCCAGUAAACGGCGGCCGUAACGAUAACGGUCCUAAGGUAGCGAAAUUCCUUGUCGGGUAAGUUCCGACCUGCACGAAUGGCGUAACGAUGGCCACACUGUCUCCUCCUGAGACUCAGCGAAGUUGAAAUGUUUGUGAUGAUGCAAUCUCCCCGCGGAAAGACGGAAAGACCCCAUGAACCUUUACUGUAGCUUUGUAUUGGACUUUGAACAGAUCUGUGUAGGAUAGGUGGGAGGCUUUGAAGUGUGGUCGCUAGAUCGCAUGGAGCCAACGUUGAAAUACCACCCUGGUGUGUUUGAGGUUCUAACCUAGGCCCGUAAUCCGGGUCGGGGACAGUGCAUGGUAGGCAGUUUGACUGGGGCGGUCUCCUCCCAAAGCGUAACGGAGGAGUUCGAAGGUACGCUAGGUACGGUCGGACAUCGUGCUAAUAGUGCAAUGGCAUAAGCGUGCUUAACUGCGAGACUGACAAGUCGAGCAGAUGCGAAAGCAGGACAUAGUGAUCCGGUGGUUCUGUAUGGAAGGGCCAUCGCUCAACGGAUAAAAGGUACUCUGGGGAUAACAGGCUGAUACCGCCCAAGAGUUCAUAUCGACGGCGGUGUUUGGCACCUCGAUGUCGGCUCAUCUCAUCCUGGGGCUGUAGCCGGUCCCAAGGGUAUGGCUGUUCGCCAUUUAAAGAGGUACGUGAGCUGGGUUUAAAACGUCGUGAGACAGUUUGGUCCCUAUCUUCCGUGGGCGCUGCAGAUUUGAGGAAGCCUGCUCCUAGUACGAGAGGACCGGAGUGGACACACCUCUGGUGUAUCGGUUGUCACGCCAGUGGCAUUGCCGAGUAGCUAUGUGUGGAAGAGAUAACCGCUGAAAGCAUCUAAGCGGGAAACUCGUUUCAAGAUGAGAUCUGCCGGGGCCUUGAGCCCCCUAAAGAGUCGUUCAAGACCAGGACGUUGAUAGGUCGGGUGUGGAAGCGCAGUAAUGCGUUAAGCUAACCGAUACUAAUUGCUCGUGCGGCUUGAUCAG